rnacentral:lncRNA from 1 species
UACUUCUGGAAUGAGUGUCAUUGUUCCAGAACCCCCCUGUAUGGCAGAGACCUGUUGGAAACUUGCCCUUGGAUCAGUGAAAGAAAAAUCUCUCAGCAUUGUUCUUCCAGGAUUAACAAGUGGUGCUGGGUUGGCUUUGCAAAAUGCCUUCCAUACUCCAGCACUUCAGAGGCUCUAAGGAUCCAUUGCAGGACCUCAUUCUGACACUGAAACAGCAGCAGAUUGCCCUGAAGCAUUAUUAUUGUUAUUGCCAGAGACAUGUGUGUGUUCCCAGCUGUAGCUAUUGCUCCUCCAUGUUUGUAUGGAGUAAAUCCUUCUUACACAAGGACCCAUGGAAUGAAACCCCUGCAGUUCAGGCUCGAGGAACAGAGAUGGUGCAGCCUGAUUCAGGUGUCAGUCACACAGAUGUGAUUCCUGUUGUCUUCUAUGACACUGGACACAAAGAUGGGAUGGUGUGACAAAAGUGCAAGAGGAGGAGAUACCCACACAUCCAGGUGAAUUUCAUGCUAAGAAAUCAAUGUUUUAAAAUCAAAAGUAGAGAGAAGAUGAUUUGGGGAGAAACUAGGAUUUUUGGUUGUAGUUUGUAGUUUAAAUAACUUGGUCUUUGAAGAAGCCUUCAAAGAUUUUAUCAUACCCCUUCCCUUCAAACUAGGGGGAAAUUAAAAAUCAUGUCCUUCCCACACUGCUGCUUCUGUUCCUGUUUUUCCCUCCCACUUCCAUCUACCAAACCAUCUGGACUUCUGUGUUGGGACAGCCAAAGCAAAUGGGUGGGUGUUUUCAGCCCUUGAUAAACAAAAAAUGUCAUUCUUGAUUCUCAUUGAGUUUCAGAUCCAGUGAUGAGAUGCUGUGUGUGUAGGUCUAAGAUGUAUUUGACAGCUUCUCUCAAGUGACUGUUUCUUGCCUUGGAAGGAUAUGCUGAGAGCACAAGGAAUGUAGUGGGUUUCUUUGUUUUACAGGCUUGUAAGUGGUAAUUCUACUGAAGAGAGGCUGUUUGAAAAGAGUAUUAAACAUAUGAUUCAAGAGCUGGCUGCUCAGGGAGAGGAUUGUUCAAUAGACUUUUUAUCCCAGGUACUGUAACAUUAAGAAUGUGAGCAGUUAUUUGAUGAUACAUAAAAAAUAAGUGUUUUAAUAGAUCUCAGACAGAAUUUUGUAAAGGUAGUGGUUUAUUUAUUUCUAGGCUUGUUUGGGAACCUGUGGUGUGUGUUCACAGUUCAAUUGAGUAGAAAUCCUGAACCGUCAGCUCAUAUAGAAAAUCAGAAGGUAACAAUAUGAAAUAAAUAUUGAUGAUAUUGAUAAAUUGUAAUAAAG